CCCUUAGAUGUUCUGGGCCGCACGCGCGCUACACUGAUGCAUUCAACGAGUUUUACCUUGGCCGAGAGGCCUGGGCAAUCUUUUGAACGUGCAUCGUGAUAGGGAUAGAUUAUUGCAAUUUUUAAUCUUGAACGAGGAAUUCCUAGUAAACGCAGAUCAUCAAUCUGCAUUGAUUACGUCCCUGCCCUUUGUACACACCGCCCGUCGCACCUACCGAUUGAAUGGUCCGGUGAAGCCUCGGGAUUGUGAUGAGUUCCCUUUAUUGGGAGUUUGUUGCGAGAACUUGUCUAAACCUUAUCAUUUAGAGGAAGGUGAAGUCGUAACA
rnacentral:rRNA from 1 species